GCCCCUGUAGUUAAAUGGAUAUAACGAGAGACUCCUAAGCUCUAGUUACAGGUCCGAUUCCUGUCGGGGGCA
rnacentral:tRNA from 1 species